rnacentral:rRNA from 1 species
CUGUUUGGACGAGGGGCCCCUCUCGGGUUACCGAAUUCAGACAAACUCCGAAUGCCAAUUAAUUUAACUUGGGAGUCAGAACAUGGGUGAUAAGGUCCGUGUUCGAAAGGGAAACAGCCCAGACCACCAGCUAAGGUCCCAAAAUAUAUGUUAAGUGGAAAAGGAUGUGGCGUUGCCCAGACAACUAGGAUGUUGGCUUAGAAGCAGCCAUCAUUUAAAGAGUGCGUAAUAGCUCACUAGUCGAGUGACACUGCGCCGAAAAUGUACCGGGGCUAAACAUAUUACCGAAGCUGUGGAUUGUCCUUUGGACAAUGGUAGGAGAGCGUUCU